rnacentral:rRNA from 1 species
GACGAACGCUGGCGGCGUGCCUAAUACAUGCAAGUAGAACGCUGAAGAGAGGAGCUUGCUCUUCUUGGAUGAGUUGCGAACGGGUGAGUAACGCGUAGGUAACCUGCCUGGUAGCGGGGGAUAACUAUUGGAAACGAUAGCUAAUACCGCAUAAAAUUGAUUAUUGCAUGAUAAUUAAUUGAAAGAUGCAACUGCAUCACUACCAGAUGGACCUGCGUUGUAUUAGCUAGUUGGUGAGGUAACGGCUCACCAAGGCGACGAUACAUAGCCGACCUGAGAGGGUGAUCGGCCAAACUGGGACUGAGACACGGCCCAGACUCCUACGGGAGGCAGCAGUAGGGAAUCUUCGGAAAUGGGGGGAACCCUGACCGAGCAACGCCGCGUGAGUGAAGAAGGUUUUCGAAUCGUAAAGCUCUGUUGUAAGAGAAGAAAGGGUGUGAGAGUGGAAAGUUCACACUGUGACGGUAUCUUACCAGAAAGGGACGGCUAACUACGUG